UACGGAGGGGGCUAGCGUUGUUCGGAAUUACUGGGCGUAAAUCGCGCGUAGGCGGACCUGCAAGUCGGGGGUGAAAGCCCGAGGCUCAACCUCGGAACUGCCUUCGAUACUGCGGGUCUCGAGUCCGGGAGAGGUGAGUGGAAUUCCUAGUGUAGAGGUGAAAUUCGUAGAUAUUAGGAAGAACACCAGUGGCGAAGGCGGCUCACUGGCCCGGUACUGACGCUGAGGCGCGAAAGCGUGGGGAGCAAACAGG
rnacentral:rRNA from 1 species